rnacentral:rRNA from 1 species
UACGAGUGCCUCGAGCGUUAUCCGGAAUCAUUGGGCGUAAAGGGUGCGUAGGUGGCGCUGUAAGUCGGGUGUGAAAUUUCGGAGCUUAACUCCGAAACUGCAUUCGAUACUGCCGUGCUUGAGGACUGGAGAGGAGACUGGAAUUUACGGUGUAGCGGUGAAAUGCGUAGAUAUCGUAAGGAAGACCAGUGGCGAAGGCGGGUCUCUGGACAGUUCCUGACGCUGAGGCACGAAGGUCAGGGGAGCAAACGGG